GACGAACGCUGGCGGCGUGCUUAACACAUGCAAGUCGUACGGUAAGGCCCUUUCGGGGGUACACGAGUGGCGAACGGGUGAGUAACACGUGAGUAACCUGCCCACAACUUUGGGAUAACGCUAGGAAACUGGUGCUAAUACUGGAUAUGUGCUCCUGCUGCAUGGUGGGGGUUGGAAAGCUCCGGCGGUUGUGGAUGGACUCGCGGCCUAUCAGCUUGUUGGUGGGGUAGUGGCCUACCAAGGCGGCGACGGGUAGCCGGCCUGAGAGGGUGACCGGCCACAUUGGGACUGAGAUACGGCCCAGACUCCUACGGGAGGCAGAAGUGGGGAAUAUUGCACAAUGGGCGCAAGCCUGAUGCAGCAACGCCGCGUGCGGGAUGACGGCCUUCGGGUUGUAAACCGCUUUCAGCAGGGACGAAGCUUUUUGUGACGGUACCUGCAGAAGAAGCACCGGCUAACUACGUG
rnacentral:rRNA from 1 species